rnacentral:rRNA from 1 species
CUACGGGGGGCUCCAGUAAGGAAUAUUGGUCAAUGGACGAAAGUCUGAACCAGCCAUGCCGCGUGGAGGAUGAAGGUCCUCUGGAUUGUAAACUUCUUUUAUCUGGGAAGAAAUCCAUGGUUUCUACUAUGGUUGACGGUACCAGAUGAAUAAGCACCGGCUAACUCCGUGCCAGCAGCCGCGGUAAUACGGAGGGUGCAAGCGUUAUCCGGAUUCACUGGGUUUAAAGGGUGCGUAGGUGGGCAGGUAAGUCAGUGGUGAAAUCUCCGAGCUUAACUCGGAAACUGCCAUUGAUACUAUCUGUCUGGAAUACCCUGGAUGUGAGCGGAAUAUGUCAUGUAGCGGUGAAAUGCUUAGAUAUGACAUAGAACACCAAUUGCGAAGGCAGCUCACUACGGGAAUAUUGACACUGAGGCACGAAAGCGUGGGGAUCAAACAGGAUUAGAUACCCGGGUAGUC